GACGACGCUGGCGGCGUUGGAUUAGGCAUGCAAGUCGAACGGUAUCAUCCUUUCGGGGGUGAGAGAGUGGCGAACUGGUGAGUAACACGUAGGUUAUCUACCCUCAAGACGGGGACAACCCAGGGAAACUUGGGCUAAUACCGGAUGUGAGCAACUUUUAGUUGUUUGAAAGGUGGCGUAAGCUGUCGCUUGGGGAUGAGCCUGCGUCCUAUUAGUUAGUUGGUGAGGUAACGGCUCACCUAGGCAAUGAUAGGUAGGCGGCCUUAACGGGUGGUCGCCCACACUGGGAUUGAGAUACGGCCCAGACUCCUACGGGAGGCAGCAGUCGAGAAUAGUCUACAAUGGUCGGAAGACUGAUAGUGCGACGCCGCGUGAACGAUGAAUCCCUUCGGGGUGUAAAGUUCUUUUAUAUGUGAGCAGUGCUUCUUAUAUUAACAGUAUGGGGAGAGAGAUAUUAGCAUAUGAAUAAGCAACGGCUAACUCCGUG
rnacentral:rRNA from 1 species